GUAGAACUGGACAGGCAGAAGAGG
rnacentral:piRNA from 1 species